ensembl:lncRNA
GCUAUCUUGUCGGCGAGAGUGGCAGAGAACUUUUGGAUACCCUGAUGGGCGACACAGCUAGGGAUGCAUGGAGGAUAGAGGACAUCGUCACAAAGUUUGAUGAUCAUUGCAACCCCAGGGUGAACGAGAUAGUCGAACGCUAUUGUUUCUUCACGAGAAAUCAGGGCGCCAGUGAAAAUAUAGACAGUUAUGUCACUGAACUGAGACUGCUGGCCAAAACAUGCAACUUUGGGACUUUGAGAGACUCGCUCAUUCGUGAUAGGAUUGUGUGUGGUGGUAACAACACGAUCAUGAGAGAAAGGCUGCUGCGGGAGAAAAACUUGACACUGGACACAUGUUUACAACUGUGCAGAGCAGCAGAGCUCUCCAAGGAGAACGUUAAAACCAUCACCGGGCCGAUGGUUGAAGAGGUGCAUGCCGUGCAAGGGGCACAGUACCAGUGGAAAGGCAACAACACAGUGGAGUGUAAAUUCUGCGGAAGAACACACGAAAGGACCAAACAGAAAUGUCCGGCGUUCGGAAAGAAGUGUGCAAAGUGUGGCAGAGAGAACCACUUUGCAGCCAAAUGUAAAGCGAAACCAGACCAAAGGAGGAAGAAAAAUACACUGAGAUAGUGGAUGCAGUGGAGACGGACUUGGGCAAAGAUGAAGACCCAGAGAGAGAACAGGAUGUGAAAGAUAACACUGUUAAAGAGGACACUCAGCUUCUAUAUGCUGGUAUGCUACUAGGCAAAGACAUGGUCAAGUUCCAAAUAGAUUGUGGUGCUAGUUGCAACAUCAUCCCCAUUAACCUGCUGAAUCCAGACACCGAGCUGGAACACACUAAAAGUGUACUAGUUAUGUACAACAAAAGCAAGCUGAAGCCAAUGGGGAAAUGUAAGAUUAAAAUAAGGAAUCCAAGAAAUCACAAACUAUAUCGCUUGGAGUUCCAAGUGGUGAACACAGACGGUGCAGUGCCUCUGCUGGGUCGGAAAGCCAGUGAGGCGAUGAAACUGAUUAAAGUGCACCAUGAGAAUAUCAUGGCAAUGGACAGUAUAAUCACAACAGGAAAACCGAAAACAGGGUGGACGAUGGAACAAAUCAAAACAAGGUAUGCUGACGUGUUCACUGGAGAUGGCUGCCUUGGAGGAAAAUACAAGAUGGAGGUGGACAGCACAGUGAAGCCGGUGCAGCUGCCAAAGAGACGGGUUCCAGUGGCCCUGAUGAAACCACUGAAGGAAGAGCU